GCUGGUAGUUAUAUCACCCUGCAACUCACAACUGGCUGUCCCUUGAAGCUCAGCAGGUGUGAGCCUGACCAGUACCUGGAUGGGAGACCUCCAGGAAAAAACUAAGGUUGCUGCUGGCA
rnacentral:rRNA from 1 species